AUUCAAAAGAGGAUUUUGCUUCUGACUCCACCACCAAGUGGCUUGCCCAGGUUGGGGUCAUAGGAUCUCUGACCAUUGGACUCCUUGGUGCGUUGCUGAUAUUUAAGAGGCGCACCACCCAACGUCACAGUGGCCAUCCAACAGACAGGCAUCACGAUGAGGAGGCAGAAGGAAAAGUUAUUCUUACUGUCUAAACAGGGACAGUCCACAGGAUCAGCAUUCCAGUCUCUAGUAACUGAUUCAUUAACUGGCAGUCUCUUGAAGGGACUGUUUCCUUGACGAUCAAAAAGGGGCUUGUCACCAUCACUAUCCUUUGAUGGACUGUUUCCUGUUAAGUGUCCGAUGACAGUCACUUUGGCACUCAGGUCAUUCUGAUUGAGGCAUUUGUUUCUUCAUAAUCAGGUAAUCUGAUCACUGUUCACACUAUACUACAAGGUGCAUGGGUAAACAUUCCAAGUUUCUAAUACUGUAGAUUCUACCAUAGUGGUUGUUAUUAUUAUACUGUAACACCAGACCAUCUAAUCACUAACUUUACACACUGUUCUAUACUAAGGUUGUGCGAACAUUCAAUAUAUGGGACGAAUGUGUGUCCCCACCACAUUGUUUCUAUUCUCUUUGUUUAAGUCCCAAAUGGCACCCAAUUCCCUAUAUAGUGCACUACUUUUGACCAGAGGGAAUAGGGUGCCAUUUGGAAUGCAACCUUUGACUUGACUUUGUGUUUUAUAAUUUUUGGCCUGGAAUGUAACAUAUAACCACUCUUAUUACCAGAAGUCAGCCUGUCGCUCCUACCACAGCUGUUUAUGUUUUUGUACUUCCUCUUUCUCCUUUCUCCUUGUCUUGCGCUAUCUGCUGGUGGAACGUUCAUAUCUAUAUCUAUAUCUUGCUCAGGGCUCACCUCCAGGAAGUGCAAUGGAAUGAAACUGUAAACAUGAAAGAUAAUUGUUGUUUAAAUAGAUACUACUGUGCCUGCCACUAUUCUCCCUGGGCUUUGAUUCUACUACAAUAUCUAUGGGAAGAAUGUGAGUCCCCACCACAUUGUUUCUCUUCUCUUUG